rnacentral:ncRNA from 2 species
CUCUUAUAAAGAGCGGCGGAGGGAAGUGCCCUAUGAAGCCCGGCAACCAUCACAUAUGUGAAAAGGUGCCAAGUCACGCAAAGUAUAACACUUUGAAAGAUGAGAG